AUGCCGAUCCCGCUGCAUCUGCCCAGCCACGAACGAUGCCGAUGCCGUUCUAAUUGGGUAAGUCGUCACCUGCACAUCACCAAAGGCCGCCGAACAGCAACAGGAAUGGAGCCCCGCCGGCGCCGUCGGCCGCCGGUGACGGAAGGAAGCUCGAGAAGAGGGCUGCCUGAAAAAGAGGAUCUGCUCGCCGUCCGUGUCGCCCAGGCGGACGACGCGGGGGCAGUUCGGCUUAACGUCCCUGUCUCCGUAAAAAGAAAACAUGGUACGGAAUGA
rnacentral:rRNA from 1 species